rnacentral:misc_RNA from 1 species
GUUGGUGAACCAGCGGAGGGAUCAUUACAGAGUUAUCUAACUCCCAAACCCAUGUGAACUUACCUUUUGUUGCCUCGGCAGUGCCUACCCUGUAGCCAGUUACCCUGUAGCCAGUUACCCUGUAACGACCUACCCUGUAGCCGGCUACCCUGUAGCGCCUGCCGGUGGACCAUUAAACUCUUGUUAUUUUUAAGUAAUCUGAGCGUCUUAUUUUAAUAAGUCAAAACUUUCAACAACGGAUCUCUUGGUUCUG